rnacentral:rRNA from 1 species
UACGUAGGGGGCGAGCGUUGUUCGGAUUCAUUGGGCGUAAAGGGUGCGUAGGCGGCGCGGUAAGUCGGGAGUGAAAUCUCUGGGCUCAACUCAGAGACUGCUUCCGAAACUGCUGUGCUGGAGUGUGGGAGAGGCGCGUGGAAUUCCUGGUGUAGCGGUGAAAUGCGCAGAUAUCAGGAGGAACACCGGUGGCGAAGGCGGAUCUCUGGGCCAUUACUGACGCUGAGGAGCGAAAGCGUGGGGAGCGAACAGG